UAGCGUAGGGUGCAAGCGUUAAUCGGAAUUACUAGGGGCGUGAAACGUGCGCAGGCGGUUAUGUAAGACAGUUGUGAAAUCCCCGGGCUCACCUGGGAACUGCAUCUGUGACUGCAUAGCUAGAGUACGGUAGAGGGGGAUGGAAUUCCGCGUGUAGCAGUGAAAUGCGUAGAUAUGCGGAGGAACACCGAUGGCGAAGGCAAUCCCCUGGACCUGUACUGACGCUCAUGCACGAAAGCGUGGGGAGCGAACAGGAUUAGAUACCCCGGGGU
rnacentral:rRNA from 1 species